UACAGAGGUCUCAAGCGUUGUUCGGAUUCAUUGGGCGUAAAGGGUGCGUAGGCGGUGCCGUAAGUCGGGUGUGAAAUCUCAGGGCUCAACCCUGAAACUGCAUUCGAUACUGCGGUGCUCGAGGACUGGAGAGGAGACUGGAAUUCACGGUGUAGCAGUGAAAUGCGUAGAUAUCGUGAGGAAGACCAGUGGCGAAGGCGAGUCUCUGGACAGUUCCUGACGCUGAGGCACGAAGGCCAGGGGAGCAAACGGG
rnacentral:rRNA from 1 species